AAAUUGAAGGGGAGACAGUUCCCCGUAACUAGGUAUAAUAU
rnacentral:guide_RNA from 1 species